rnacentral:rRNA from 1 species
UGGGGAAUAUUGGACAAUGGGCGAAAGCCUGAUCCAGCCAUGCCGCGUGUGUGAAGAAGGUCUUCGGAUUGUAAAGCACUUUAAGUUGGGAGGAAGGGCAGUUACCUAAUACGUGAUUGUCUUGACGUUACCGACAGAAUAAGCACCGGCUAACUCUGUGCCAGCAGCCGCGGUAAUACAGAGGGUGCAAGCGUUAAUCGGAAUUACUGGGCGUAAAGCGCGCGUAGGUGGUUUGUUAAGUUGGAUGUGAAAUCCCCGGGCUCAACCUGGGAACUGCAUUCAAAACUGACAGGCUAGAGUAUGGUAGAGGGUGGUGGAAUUUCCUGUGUAGCGGUGAAAUGCGUAGAUAUAGGAAGGAACACCAGUGGCGAAGGCGACCACCUGGACUAAUACUGACACUGAGGUGCGAAAGCGUGGGGAGCAAAACAGGAUUAGAUACCCUGGUAGUCCACGCCGUAAACGAUGUCAACUAGCCGUUGGGAGCCUUGAGCUCUUAGUGGCGCAGCUAACGCAUUAAGUUGACCGCCUGGGGAGUACGGCCGCAAGGUUAAAACUCAAAGGAAUUGACGGGGUCAUA